AUUGAACGCUGGCGGCAUGCUUUACACAUGCAAGUCGAACGGCAGCGCGGGCUUCGGCCUGGCGGCGAGUGGCGAACGGGUGAGUAAUGCAUCGGAACGUGCCCAGUAGUGGGGGAUAGCCCGGCGAAAGCCGGAUUAAUACCGCAUACGACCUGAGGGUGAAAGCGGGGGACCGAAAGGCCUCGCGCUAUUGGAGCGGCCGAUGUCGGAUUAGCUAGUUGGUGGGGUAAAGGCUUACCAAGGCGACGAUCCGUAUCUGGCCUGAGAGGACGACCAGCCACACUGGGACUGAGACACGGCCCAGACUCCUACGGGAGGCAGCAGUGGGGAAUUUUGGACAAUGGGGGCAACCCUGAUCCAGCCAUGCCGCGUGCGGGAAGAAGGCCUUCGGGUUGUAAACCGCUUUUGUUCGGGAAGAAAUCCUCUGGGCUAAUACCCCGGGGGAAUGACGGUACCGGAAGAAUAAGCACCGGCUAACUACGUG
rnacentral:rRNA from 1 species